UCACAGAGACAGGUGGGUCACUAGAACUGAUCGUGGAUAGUGAAUGAAGCAAAAUGUCCCAAAGUAAUGGGACUAGUGGGGUGGGGACAAGAGCACAUCUAGGGUAUGUUAAGGAGCAAUAGAUGUCUAACUGGGCAAAGAACAAGGACUCUGGCUUCAGAAAAGCUGAGGAUUUAGGACUCCGUGCCAGGAGUUUGCACCCUCGGGACCUUGGCUGAGUAGAGAAACAGGUGAAGAGGAAGGCUGCCAAACGGAAGAGAUGGGAAAACACAUCGGGACAGCAGUGGGUGUGGCCAGAGAAGCCAGUGGCUACUUUCAAUUGCCUGUGUCUAAUCACAGAGGAAGAAACAUGUCCCUCAGUAGCUGUGUUUUUCAUGUUUUUCCCUUUAGAAGAGAGGGAGACAGGGG
rnacentral:lncRNA from 1 species